UUGUGCACGCCCCAAAAAUCGUUUCUCCCCCGCGACAUUUUUCAAACCCUAAAAAGUCUGGUCUUAUCUCUCGCUCGGUCUCUCACAAUUAAGAACACAGAAAAAAAUCCCAAUCAACUUUCUGUCAAUCAUCCAUUUCGGGGUUCUGCCAAGAGGAAACAUCAGUAGCAAGCAACCAUGGCGUCUCUAGAUCCUGAGAUCGCCAAAACUCAAGAGGAAA